rnacentral:sRNA from 1 species
AUUUGUAUUCCGAAAUACUCCGCUAUAGUGUUUUACUAAAACAUUGUUUAGAUGGGAUAUCAGGAACUAACGAAUUGAAUUAAAAUAUUUCGCUUUGAGGGUGAUCACUGUCCCCUUCUUCAUGUUGAGCAUCAUGGACAGAGAAUUAUGUAUUCGGUUUUAGUCGGGUGUGUACUGAGAUACUGAGAUCAACCCUUCCUCGAUGAGCUAACUGCUGCAACGUUUUGUAAAACGGUUGGAUGAUCUAACUGAAAUUGAAUUUAAGCUUGAAAUAAAAAAAAUAUGACGAGCAAUGUUUCGAGAUUUAUUUUUGGAAUUAUUGAAUUUUAUUCACUUUUUUGUUGCUUCUUUUCUAUAGAUGAGCUCUUUUGUUAAGCAUUUUUUCCAUUUUCUUAUUUUUUGUUUUGUUUCGACAAGUAAUUUUACAUCGGUACAAGUAAUUAUAAAGUCGUAGAGUGUACAAAAACAAAAACAGUUUAAACAAUUUCAAAUAUUUAAGAACUUAACACAUUGUUGGUGUGGAACUGUUUCCGCUUAGAGUUCACCACAAAAUGUAUAGCCACAGAAAAGAUUGUUUGCAAGCAACAGCCAUUGUUUUGGACUUGUUGGUUAAAUUGCUACUCCAAAGACGACGUGUGAACAGUUUCAAUCGAUCGAUGUCAGAACAGAGUUAUACGUAUAUCUGCCCGGUAUGUAUUGGUAUUCGUUCGAUGGUAGGUAAGCAACAGAAGGCCCAUUGUAGGGUUCACCCUUAGUAGAGCAGAGAAGUCGAUACACCGGAGUUCCUAUAACACAAUCCGCACAAUCAAUCUGAUAGAAACGACGCACCCUGGUCAGGCCGCGACCCCGACAAUCAACACUAAGGCUGAGUCAGGGUCGCAGCCACAACUUUCGCGUACGCCAAACGCGUACAUGGGCCGAAGUGCAUUUUCAGCACUUCUUCUGCCUAUUGCUCGCGAAGGGUACAGAGUUCAGAGUUUUACUUGGAUCGAUCGCCUACGCGUUUGCGUAUCAACUUUCAACGCCCAACUAUAAAGUUUAGAGAAAGAAAUACAUAUUGCUUGGUUAAGUUGUGUGUCAGAGUUGCAUAAAGCAUUAUUACAAAUAAGAUUAUCAGCUAUGUAAAUGUUAAAAUGACUACGAAACUUAUACGUAGGUAAGAUGCCAAUAGAAGCGACAGAAACAGGGAUGAAGAAACGUAAAGCAGUGAAAUUUUCCCUAUACCCAGCAUGUGGGAAAAUACAUACAUACAUACAAUGUACUCGUACAUACUAUAUAUAUAAAGAGAGAGUAAACACAUGGGUAGAUUGUGUACACGCAAGUACUUUUUGCAGCUGCUCUGCUGUUGACGUCAGUGUGAGUACAACCGAAUGCAGUAUAGAUAGGCGUAUCCCACAAGUGGGAGCGAGAUGAAUAUACAUACAUGUAAAAUGUAAGUGAAAAGAGGGGUAUUUUUAGAGCAGGCCUGGUGGUGGCCUCGGUUUGGGGGGCUGAAAGGGAACAUCGAGAAUUUUCGAUAUGAUUUGAGACGCGUUGUUCUGGAACAAUUCCAUAUUACGCAAUGGGCUGCAAGAGUCCGACUUAUAGAUUUUGCAUUGGAAAAGGCCACAAAAAACGAGUGAUGACGAAAUGGAGCAUCGGCCAACGUUAGAAAAGGUUUUUUCUGCAUAUCGUCUGUCGACAAUUAUCUAGUUCUUAGGACUACGUUUUUUCUUACGAAUUACAAGGUGCAUUGAAAGAUGACACUCUUGAUUUGCUGCUGUUAAUACCUGGCUUCCUAUCCCAAAUUAUCAAUUCCACGUACACUGCAGGUCUGGGCUGCCGCCAUUGCACCCGACUGAGUCUGUUUCGAGAGUUUCCUGAACCUCCUGGAUUGCCUCAUCCUGCCUAGGGAGUUACUUUCUAGCCAAAAA